CCUUAUGCUGGAGAACGUCUAGAAGGCAUAUUGAUAUAGGGCUGAUACAAGAGCCCUGGAUAAAUGGAGGCCAAGUGGAGAGGCCUACCAAACAAAGUAUAUCAGACGAUAUACUGCGAUAAGUCAGGUUCCUGACGAGGGAUCUUGCUGCGGCAUUGGUUUCCAGGAGACGCCAUCAGCCCACCACCGGAGGAAGUACAACGCCUCAUCGAAUUGUGCCGCAGGGAGAAGAAACAAUUGAUUCUGGGCUGCGAUACGAACGCACACCACAAAGUAUGGGGCAGCACAACAUAAAUCAUUGAGAUUUGGUCCAGUUCUGAAGGCACUGCAGGAGGCAUGUGACGACCGAACGCCCUGACAGGAAACCAUGCUAGCACUCAGGAAUUAUUUUGUUUUCAGUCAAAAAAUCGAGCAAUUUAUUACAAACAACUCUCUCAGCAAUCUUGGAUAUGAUAGGAAAGAGACUAAUGAGGCGGUAAUUACUCGGGCAUAGUUUGUCCCCCUUUUUGAAAACAGGAGUUAUCCUAGAUAUUUUUCAAGCAGAUGGUAAUUGACAUUGUUUUAGUUUCACUUUAUACAUUUAUUGAAACACUUCUUGUUUUAACUAUUUAUUUUAUUAUUAUACAAGUCUGUAGUUGUUGUAGUCUGCACACGUGCUAGUUCCGAGAGGGACCUAACCUCUCUCAUCUCGAGGUUGUUCGAUAUUCUGUGGUCAUAGAAUAUUGCCACAGAAUAUCUUUAUCUUUUUACAAAAUACAACAUUUACAAUAUACAACAGACAUGAGCUGAAGGAUAAUCUUAUUAAAACAGUUAUCGUCAGUGGAAGGAAUGUGGAGCAUUUUUUCAGCAAUCCAGAAGAGAAAUUAUCCCUACCAAAGGCGGCAGAUGGAUCCAACUCAGAUAAAAGUUUCAGUAUUUCUUCCUCAUUGAUAUCAAUAGAUUCGAGAGAGGAGAAGUAAUGCAGGGCAGUGGGCCCCCUGUCUCUGUAGGAAAGGAAAUGGUGAAAACAUUGGCGGAGCAUUCUGGGUCACUAGAACAUAGACCACCUGAUUCAUCUCUGACACGAGGAAUUGAAACCUCAGAGCUGAGAGUGUUUCGGAUAUAUUUAUAAAAUUUUUUCCGAUUAUUGGGUUGAGCAAGAAAUUCAUGAAACAACUUUCUUGCGUUCUUAAUUUUUUUGCCAAGUGCAUUUGAGAAGUUGCGAUGAACACGAUAGUCCAUCUCAGAUCCAUUACGAAGAUAUUGCUGCCAUAGCUUCCUUUUCCGUCGCUGCAUGGUGAUGUUCCCAUCAGUUAUGAAUCUCAUACUCAUGUAAUGUAUUAGUGCAAUGUGUAGAUGGCCUCGCUGCCAAGCACACAAAAAGAAGAAGAAAAAGAAUGUGUUAGUGAUCUGUGGUCGCCCCCAUAAUCAUCCAUAAUGCAGUGAUGUCAACUCUGAGGAUGUGUCCCCAGGUUUAGGGGGAAAUUAUGGUUUUAGGGAUUAAGAGGGAAAUAGGGAAUUUCUAGGAAUUAUUAAUUCGAAAUAAUAAUUGAUGAUAUUCUUGAAAUAAUGAAUAUUCAGUCAGAUUGAAGGCAUUAAUGGAGACAAUAUUAACAGACAGUGGAGCAUAUUGCUCUUGAUUUUUUGAGUGAUGAAGAUAAAAAACUCGUUUAUGAUGAGUGUAGAUGAAAUACUUCACUGGAGUUCCGGAAUAUAAAGAUAUUUGUAAUUUUACAUAUUAUCCAAUGGUAAUGCUGUUGUUACAGUUGUUACAGACAUUAAAUGUAAGAAGAGAAA